GAUGAACGCUGGCGGCGUGCCUAGUACAUGCAAGUCGAGCGAACAGACGAAGAGCUUGCUCCUCUGACGUUAGCGGCGGACGGGUGAGUAACACGUGGAUAACCUACCUAUAAGACUGGGAUAACUUCGGGAAACCGGAGCUAAUACCGGAUAAUAUAUUGAACCGCAUGGUUCAAUAGUGAAAGACGGUUUUGCUGUCACUUAUAGAUGGAUCCGCGCCGCAUUAGCUAGUUGGUAAGGUAACGGCUUACCAAGGCAACGAUGCGUAGCCGACCUGAGAGGGUGAUCGGCCACACUGGAACUGAGACACGGUCCAGACUCCUACGGGAGGCAGCAGUAGGGAAUCUUCCGCAAUGGGCGAAAGCCUGACGGAGCAACGCCGCGUGAGUGAUGAAGGUCUUCGGAUCGUAAAACUCUGUUAUUAGGGAAGAACAAAUGUGUAAGUAACUAUGCACGUCUUGACGGUACCUAAUCAGAAAGCCACGGCUAACUACGUG
rnacentral:rRNA from 1 species